ACGGCGUCCCUGGAGUGGUCAGCACAGUGGUGAACAUGGCGACCGCAUGCAAGUGUUCGAGCACAUGCUUUACCAUGCCACUUCAGGUCACGGACACGGGCCGCACGAGCACAAAUCAUCAUCUACGUGUAUGAGGCCGCAACAAACACUUCAACAACGACGAAUGCUAGGCCACUCCGUUUCAUGCAGCUCACUUCAAGAGAUGUUUUUGGUAAAGUACAGGGCUUGAAAACCAAUAAACACCGAUAGACUUUCAGCGCUCUUAAUGCGAGCAUUGAUUGAGACGUACAAUAAAGCCAGUGCGGAGGAUUUCUACAAAAUACCACAAAUAAUACUGCCAAUACAUUCCUCUGCUGAUGGUGCAGUCAUCCAAACUCGAAAAAAAGUGAAACAAAAGUAUGUUUCCGCCUAACAAUAUACACAAGGCUCUCUCCCUCUCUCUCUCUCUCUCUCGCUCUGACCCAUUUACCAAUUUGAGAAAACUUAAAUACUACGUUAUUCACUAUCAUCGCUCUGCGAACAGAUCAGUUCAACUUGAAAAGGUAUGGAAAUAAACGCCUUAUACAUAAUAAGAAUGAAUAUUAAUUACAUGUAUAUUACUUAUACGUUAUGGUACGUUAUAGACUAUUAAAACCCUGGAAUUCUGUGAAGGCAAUUAAGCAUCAUAAGCGUCAAGUAAUGCGAGGUACUGCACGUGUUCAAGGAUAGGAUGCCAAGCGAUUACAUUAUACGCUUCAUCGGGGAUAGGGCGAGCGCCGCUUUUUCUUUGAAACCUUCGCACAAAAUAGCACAGCGUAUGAUUACUAUAUCACAUGUAGCAGAUGUUAAAGAAUUUAUAGCCGAUUUUUAUGGCAAACGCUACAAACUCAAAUGGCAUAAUUCACUGCACAACAUAAAAAAAAAUCGGCGUUACUUGAACAUUAAUUGUGUAUUAUAGUUUGCUGUUAGUGAAAAAUGAGGGGGGAAAGGUAAACGUUGAGAUCCAUGGCAAUAAGAAAUA